rnacentral:rRNA from 1 species
AAUGAACGCUGGCGGCGCGCCUAAUACAUGCAAGUCGAGCGAGAAGACGUAGCAAUACGUUUGUAAAGCGGCGAACGGGUGAGGAAUACAUGGGUAACCUACCCUCGAGUGGGGAAUAACUAGCCGAAAGGUUAGCUAAUACCGCGUACGCUCCUUGGACUUCGGUUCAGGGAGGAAAGCGAUACCGUGGGUAUCGCGCUCUUGGAUGGGCUCAUGUCCUAUCAGCUUGUUGGGAGGUAACGGCUCACCAAGGCUUCGACGGGUAGCUGGUCUGAGGAGGACGAUC